rnacentral:rRNA from 1 species
UAGGGAAUCUUCCACAAUGGACGCAAGUCUGAUGGAGCAACGCCGCGUGAGUGAAGAAGGUUUUCGGAUCGUAAAGCUCUGUUGUUGGUGAAGAAGGAUAGAGGCAGUAACCGGUCUUUAUUUGACGGUAAUCAACCAGAAAGUCACGGCUAACUACGUGCCAGCAGCCGCGGUAAUACGUAGGUGGCAAGCGUUGUCCGGAUUUAUUGGGCGUAAAGCGAGCGCAGGCGGAAUGAUAAGUCUGAUGUGAAAGCCCACGGCUCAACCGUGGAACUGCAUCGGAAACUGUCAUUCUUGAGUACAGAAGAGGAGAGUGGAACUCCAUGUGUAGCGGUGGAAUGCGUAGAUAUAUGGAAGAACACCAGUGGCGAAGGCGGCUCUCUGGUCUGCAACUGACGCUGAGGCUCGAAAGCAUGGGUAGCGAACAGGAUUAGAUACCCUGGUAGUCCAUGC